ensembl:lncRNA
AACGACACAAACCUGAUUUAUUUCACAACAAUGCAGCAUGAGGGUAUUUCUUUUGUUUCAGUAAAGGAUUUGUUUAGGAAUCAAAUAAUGUUUUCAAAAUGGAGAUAACCGUUGAGUCUUAAUGGUGUAAAUGUUUUAGAUAAAAUGAAGCCUAAAAUAAUAUACUUGAGCUCAGUUUGGGAAGGCUUAGUGACAAUCCUAGUGUGACGUCAUGGAGGAGCUAGCUCGCGCUAACUAAGAUUCCUUAUGACAAGCGAGGAGAAUGUAUAGCCGGCGGCCAUGGACGGAAAUAGAACCAACAGCCUGGCAAUAAACUGUCAAGGGACAAGAAGCAAAAAGGUUAAAAUGAGGAGGAGGAACAGCACAGAACCAGCUAAUGAAAGACGGACUGUACUACAGAAAAUCCUCCACAACAACAGGAGGGAAACCAGAGAGCAUCUACAACCGUAUGUGAUAAAGGUGAAUGUAUUCUGUCUUCAUUUGAACACACUUCCAUUCCCUCUCUGAUACUGAUGAAGCUCUAAUAAGGAAUUGAUUUUUUUUAGGGAGACGAAGGAUUGUGACCUUCUGACCCCAUUGCUCCUUGUCGGUUUUGCAAGGAACCGUCUCCGUCCCUGAGAAUCGAUGCAGCGGGGGCCUCCUGGCCCUCCU